rnacentral:rRNA from 1 species
GAUCCUGGCUCAGGAUGAACGCUAGCUACAGGCUUAACACAUGCAAGUCGAGGGGCAGCGCAGUGUAGCAAUACAGUCGGGCGGCGACCGGCGCACGGGUGCGUAACGCGUAUCCAACCUUCCCGUUACUCAGGGAUAGCCUUCCGAAAGGGAGAUUAAUACCUGAUGGUGUUCAAAUUCCGCAUGUUAUUUGAACUAAAGAUUCAUCGGUAACGGAUGGGGAUGCGUGACAUUAGAUAGUAGGCGGGGUAACGGCCCACCUAGUCUACGAUGUCUAGGGGUUCUGAGAGGAAGGUCCCCCACACUGGAACUGAGACACGGUCCAGACUCCUACGGGAGGCAGCAGUGAGGAAUAUUGGUCAAUGGUCGGAAGACUGAACCAGCCAAGUAGCGUGAAGGAUGAAGGUUCUAUGGAUUGUAAACUUCUUUUAUACGGGAAUAAAACCUCCCACGUGUGGGAGCUUGUAUGUACCGUAUGAAUAAGCAUCGGCUAACUCCGUG